rnacentral:lncRNA from 1 species
GAGAAGUCAAUCACUCUAUAAGAUGGUUAAUCAAGAAGAUACAAUUUCAAGACGUCGGGGUAGGCCGGUUUGAGGUACUCGAAUGUUGAGACUACCCCAUAACUUGUAGUUGGGGCAGUUGGUGCGUAUAUCAAGUAAAUUGGGGUAGAGGCAGGCUACGCAUGUUCAAGCUCUCUCCAUGUUUCAGAUCAAGUCUGGAGGUGUAAUAACAAUUUUUCAGCUUGAAGCAGGUGUCGGAGAUUCAUGUCUAGAUGACCUUAUCCUAGCCCAAAUUUCCCACCUCCCUCUAUAUGAGCAUCUGGCUUAACCAUUGUAUAAAUCAUCAUCAUGUACAAAUCAUGUCGCUUCACUCAUGCAUACCAUUCAUCUAGCAUAGCAUGAGGCCGUUUGUGCAAAUCAGAGGAAUCAUAGCCCAAUAUUUAUUGGAAUCUUUAGAUUCCAAACUUGCCUAGUACCUUUUAAAACCAGCUUGUUUGACACUUGUUCCAAAAUCCAACUUGCUUGAUACCUUUUAAAGCCUAGCUUGCUUGGUACCUUUUUCCAACAUUUAGGGUUGAUGAUCCCUUUUAACCUGCAGGGUUGAGGAACUUUUUCAAUCUUCAGGAUUGAUAACCUUUUUCCAACCUUUAGGGUUGGUGAUCCUUUUUUUACUUUCAGGGUUGAGGAACCUUUUUUUGAUCUUCAGGAUUGAUAAAUCUUUUUUGACCUUUAGGGUUGAUGACAUUUGUUUCCCGCCUUCGUGGUUGAGAAUCCUUUUUCCGACUUUCGUGGUUGAUGAACCUUUUCCAAUCUAUGUGAUUGACGAACUUUUUUUCCAAGUUGUAAGGUUGAUGACCUUUCCCUUUUAUCAAAACCUCCGUGUUUGACCUUGUUUCCAAUUUAUGAACCGAUGAUUCAUUUUUGAAACCCCUUGUUUGCAAGAAUAUUUUGAAACUCUCAUGGGCUCUCUGAUUAGCAUACAUCGCCUCAGGUUGCAUAAAAUGAUAAAACGUAUAGCAUGCAUAUCAUGGUCUUCAUUAAAUCAAUAAAAUCAUUAGCAUAUGAACCUAUAAAAGCCAAGCUGACAUCCCUACAUCCCAUACAACCGUCCUCAAUGGGAAAUUUUUUGGAUACUUCGGUAUUUAAUCCACUCAUACCUUGAAACCCGAAAAGCUAUUGCAAUUCGACAAUUCAGGUCUAAGCUGAUUAAAUAGGGGCAGCUGUCGUACCCCAAAAUUUUCCCUCCCCUUUUUACUUUUCAUCUGACCUGAAAUUCAUCUGUGCAUAUUCAUACUUCAUUCAUACGCAUUCACGUUGAUUCAAAGUUGGUAAUUGAUUGAAACCCUAAUCUAAUACAAACAGUUGAUUGAGGUCAUUGGUUGACUUUUUGGUCAACCAGUUGACGAAAGUCAACCAUCCUUCCCCGAGUCCAUCUUGUCUCGACUAAAGCGACACUGAUCAUUCUCUAUGGCCCUUUGACUCACUUUGUUGUUAUGUCCAUCAUGGUCUUGCG